rnacentral:pre_miRNA from 1 species
AAUAUUUGACGCCAUUAACUUUUUAUCACAUGUUUGACCGUUUGUCUUAUUCAAAAAAUUUAAGUAAUUAUUAAUUCUUUUCCUAUCAUUUGAUUUAUUGUUAAAUAUAUUUUUAUGUAGGCAUAUAAUUUUACAUAUCUCACAAAAGUUUUUGAAUAAGACGAACGGUCAAACAUGUGCUAAAAAGUCAACGGUAUCAAACAUU